UACGUAGGUGGCAAGCGUUAUCCGGAAUUACUGGGCGUAAAGCGCACGCAGGCGGCUCGUCAAGUUCGACGUGAAAGCUCCCGGCUUAACUGGGAGAGGUCGUUGAAAACUGGCGAGCUUGAGGCAAUGAGAGGGGUGUAGAAUUCCCGGUGUAGUGGUGGAAUGCGUAGAUAUCGGGAGGAACACCUGAGGUGAAGACGGGUUGCUGGGCUGACACUGACGCUGAGGCGCGAAAGCCAGGGGAGCAAACGGG
rnacentral:rRNA from 1 species